rnacentral:rRNA from 1 species
UACAGAGGAGCCAAGCGUUGUCCGGAUUGACUGGGCGUAAAGCGCACGCAGGUGGUCGUGCAAGUGUCGUGUGAAAGCAGCUCGCUCAACGAGCUGAUGCAUGGCAGACUGCAUAACUCGAGCCCGUGAGAGGUCGUUGGAAUUGCCGGUGUAGUGGUGAAAUGCGUAGAGAUCGGCAGGAACACCCAAGGGGAAGCCAGCCGACUGGCACGGUGCUGACACUGAGGUGCGACAGCGUGGGGAGCAAACGGG